rnacentral:rRNA from 1 species
CUACGGGGUGCUCCAGUGAGGAAUAUUGCACAAUGGGGGGAACCCUGAUGCGGCAACGCCGCGUGGAGGAUGACGCAUUUCGGUGUGUAAACUCCUUUUAUAUGUCAAGAAAAUGACGGUAGCAUAUGAAUAAGCACCGGCUAACCCCGUGCCAGCAGCCGCGGUAAUACGGAGGGUGCAAGCGUUACUCGGAAUCACUGGGCGUAAAGGACGCGUAGGCGGGUUGGAAAGUCAGGUGUGAAAUCCUACAGCUUAACUGUAGAACUGCACUUGAAACUUCUAAUCUAGAGUAUGGGAGGGGGAGAUGGAAUUAGUGGUGUAGGGGUAAAAUCCGUAGAUAUCACUAGGAAUACCUAAAGCGAAGGCGAUCUCCUGGAACAUUACUGACGCUAAGGCGUGAAAGCGUGGGGAGCAAACAGGAUUAGAUACCCUUGUAGUC